GGGAGGGUGGUCUAGCCUGGUAUGAUUCUUGGUUUGGGACCAAGGGGUCGAGGGUUCAAUUCCCUCCCCUCCCA
rnacentral:tRNA from 1 species